UUUCCGUAGGUGAACCUGCGGAGGGAUCAUUACCGAGUUUACAACUCCCAAACCCAAUGUGAACGUUACCAAACUGUUGCCUCGGCGGGAUNUCUGCCCCGGGUGCGUNGCAGCCCCGGACCAAGGCGCCCGCCGGAGGACCAACCWAAACUCUUUUUGUAUACCCCCUCGCGGGUUUUUUAUAAUCUGAGCCUUCUCGGCGCCUCUCGUAGGCGUUUCGAAAAUGAAUCAAAACUUUCAACAACGGAUCUCUUGGUUCUGGCAUCGAUGAAGAACGCAGCGAAAUGCGAUAAGUAAUGUGAAUUGCAGAAUUCAGUGAAUCAUCGAAUCUUUGAACGCACAUUGCGCCCGCCAGUAUUCUGGCGGGCAUGCCUGUCCGAGCGUCAUUUCAACCCUCGAACCCCUCCGGGGGGUCGGCGUUGGGGAUCGGCCCUGCCUCUUGGCGGCGGCCGUCUCCGAAAUAACAGUGGCGGUCUCGCCGCAGCCUCUCCUGCGCAGUAGUUUGCACACUCGCAUCGNAAGNGCGGCGCGUCCACAGCCGUUAAACACCCAACUU
rnacentral:rRNA from 1 species